GACAAAUAUGAAAUAAGUAGUUUUAGAAUUAAUUAUUCUGUGUGUUUUAAGAGGGAGUUACAGGCACUGGUUUUUUGAAAAAAUUAAUAAAAUACCUGUAAUCCCAGCACUUUGGGAGGCUGAGGUGGGCAGAUCACUUGAGGUCAAGAGUUCAAGACCAGCCUGGUCAACAUGGUGAAACCCCGUCUCUACUAAAAAUACAAAAAUUACCAGGCAUGGUGGCACAUGCCUGUAAUCCCAGCUACUCAGGAGACUGAGUCAGGAGAACUGCUUGAACCCAGGAGGCAGAGGUUGCAGUGAGCCGAGAUCGUGCCAGUGCACUCCAGCCUGGGUGAUGGAGCGAGACUCUAUCUCAAAAAUAAACAAAUAAAUAAAUAAAUAACAAAAUAGAACACUAGACAAAGAAGAAAAAAGAGAAAAAUCACAUGGACACAAUAAAAAAUGAUAAAGGAGAUAUCACCACCGAUCCCACAGAAAUACAAACAACCAUCAGAGAAUACUAUAAAUACUUCUAUGCAAAUAAACUAGAAAAUUUACAAGAAAUGGAUAAAUUCCUGGAC
rnacentral:lncRNA from 1 species